UGACAGUGCUGCAAGCCAAAACCGAUUUAAUUCCAUUCAAAAAAAAAUGAAAAAAAAAAUAAGAAAUGUUGCCUCCCUGAACAUUUUUCGAUAAGAGUCGUUUGACUGAUCCGAGCAAAAGCCUCUAUGAGGUCAACGUAAAUAACGUUCAUCCGUAAACUCUCUACUACGUACCUAUACCAGGACGCAUAAAUUUGAAACGCGAUGAAGACGGAUCAGUGUUGUCAAGUAAUAACAAAUGUUCUCAAAUUAAAAAAAAAAAACUGUUGAAUAUAUUUAUUUUAUGUAUUUGUGAUGUAUAUUAUAGUACUUACAUAUUUUUAAGUACACAAGUGAAAAAAAUUAAAUCCUUUAAACUGUUGUAGUUAAUAUUUUAUAGUAGU